rnacentral:rRNA from 1 species
UACGUAGGUGGCAAGCGUUGUCCGGAUUUACUGGGCGUAAAGAGCGCGCAGGCGGUCGUUCAAGUCGCGUGUGAAAGCCCCCCGGCUCAACUGGGGAGGGUCACGCGAUACUGAUCGACUCGAAGGCAGGAGAGGGUAGUGGAAUUCCCGGUGUAGUGGUGAAAUGCGUAGAUAUCGGGAGGAACACCAGUGGCGAAGGCGACUACCUGGCCUGUUCUUGACGCUGAGGCGCGAAAGCUAGGGGAGCAAACAGG